GAGUAGAUCUUUGGCGCGAAUCCCCACUUUUAAAUCCUUGGCUACGUCUCCCGGAAGGAAUCUCACAGUGCCUCUUCUGCGCAGUUCACUAAGUUGAACAAAGACAUCGGGAAAGGAAAGAGCGCUUCCUUCGCUCCCGCGUCUUCCCUGUAAGGAGACUUCCAUCUCUUCUUGAUGCUGCUUUGAAGACCCAGAUAUCUGGAGCAGAUUGCGGGAGAGGUGGUGUGCAGAGUCUGCUCCUGGUGCAUUUCUCAAAAGUCUGCGGACAUUGCUGCGUCAGAAUAGCUGGUGGACCCCUUUGUUUCACUCCAGCCACGGAUUGGCCGACAGCGGCACCCAGAGGUCCAGUAGGAUAUCUACCGCUUGUUAUUUCUGAAAGUCCUCCUUUAUUUCCGGGAUUUAUUUUAAAAUACCAGUUAAUUCAGUAUAAAGGCUACCGGUCACUAUCUCUUUUUGACAAAAUAUUAAUAAAAUGGUCUUUCUACAAAAUUUAAAACAAAUGUUUAAAUUUAUUAAAAUUCACAUCAGCUUAACAUUCUUACACAAUUUCCCUCGACAUUUUCUUUUGAAGAAUACUACUGAAGUUUCUUUUUCUUAUUUUUUACUCAAGAAAUUAUCCAUUGUAAAAACAAUUUUACAUUAGAAAAGGAAAUUCUUACUGUAUAUUGUAUAAUAUAAAAGAAAUCACCACUAUAAAAAGUAGAAAAUACCGACAAAAAAUUUAAAGUAUCAGUAAUUGCAUUAUUCAAUUACGAUUUUACAUAAAACAAAAUUUACCAACAUAACCAUUUUAAGUGUACAGUUUAGUAGUAUUAAGUACAUUCAUAGUGUUAUGCAGCUAUCACAAUUAUCCAUCUCCGGAAUUCUUUUUUAUCUCAUAAAACUGAAACCGUUUACCCAUUAAAUGGCAAUUCCUCAUUCUCCUCUUUCUCUAGCCCCUGGCAAACAUCAUUCUACUUGCUGUCUCUAUGAUUUUGACUAUUCUAAACAACUCAUAUAAGUGGAAUCAAACAGUAUUUGUCUUUUUUCUACUUGCCUAUUUUACAUAGCAUAUAUCCUCAAAGUUCAUCCGUGUUGCAGUAUUAUGUCAGAAUUUCCUUCCUUUUUAAAAAGAGUAUGAGGUUCCUAAAAAAAUUAAAACCAGAACUACCACAUGAUGCAGCAAUUCCAUUUCUGGGUAUGUUUCUGAAAAUAACAAUAAUAACAGCAACAACACUAACUUGGAAAGAUUAAGCACCACUAUUUUCACUGCAGCACCAUUCACAAUAGCGAAGAAAUGGAAGUAACCUAGGUGUCCAACAA
rnacentral:lncRNA from 1 species